rnacentral:lncRNA from 1 species
UGAGUAGCUGGGAUUACAGGAGCCAGCCACCACACCCAGAUACCUGCCCCAGAAAUCUCACAUCUUAUCCUGGACUUUGUCACAACAGCUUUCUAAUUUUCACCUGUUCCAGUCUCUUUUGAUUCUGGUGGUGAUUUAUUCCUCUCUACUGGAGUUCUCAGCCAUCUAGUCCAUACAAACUGCACCAAAACACAAGAGAGAUCAGAGCCCCGCUUUGUACAUGGCCCGCUCCCCCGUCCAUUCCAGUUUCCUGCCCUCUACUGGCCAUGACGGUCAUCACAGUGCCCUCCUCAUUCCUAACUUUUAAAUACACUUGAGACCGCCUGAUUAAUCUUGCACUAAGAAAAACAAAACAAAACAAACAAAAAACAAAAACAAAACACUCACAUACAAUGUUUUUAAUGCUUGAAAAGUACCGGAACAAUUAUUUUUUCAACCAAUGUAACCCAGGUGUGGGAUAUUUUGGGGAUGGGGGUGGCAGGGAGAGGAGGGGUGAAAAUCCUCCUGUAUCCGCAAAUAAGUUAUUGGCAGAAAGGCAUUAACGUGACUUACAAAGACUUCAAUUAGUUCUCAAAAUACCUCUUUCUUACACUGCCUUCUCUGCAAUUUUUUUUCAAUGAAGAAUACAUUGUGUUCUUCCUUGGAAGGCCACGGAAGCAAGAAAUGAGAUGAAAGCCGCACACGUAGUGUGCAUCCAUGUUACCUUGGAAAUUAUUGAAUGUGCUUCUCCCCGAGUUUCCUUUCCUUUGAGUUUCAAGUUGUUAUAAAUGUUACUUUCCAUAGACUACUAAGGAUCUCUUUAAAGUGACCUGUCCAUUUUCAAAUCAUCAAACCUAUUUUUUAAAGAUGGCAGGAAUAUUUUGUCACAGCAUUUAAAAAUACAUCUUAAUAGAACUAUUA